UACAGAGAGUGCGAGCGUUAAUCGGAAUUAAUGGGCGUAAAGCGUGCGUAGGUGGAUAAUUAAGUCGAAUGUGAAAGCCCUGAGCUUAACUCAGGAAUUGCAUCCGAUACUGGUUAUCUAGAGUAUGGUCGAGGGAAGUGGAAUUUCCGGUGUAGCGGUGAAAUGCGUAGAUAUCGGAAAGAACACCAGUGGCGAAAGCGGCUUCCUGGACUAAUACUGACACUGAGGCACGAAAGCGUGGGGAGCAAACAGG
rnacentral:misc_RNA from 1 species